rnacentral:misc_RNA from 1 species
AACGCACAUUGCGCCCAUCGGUAUUCCGUUGGGCAUGCCUGUUCGAGCGUCAUUAUCCUCCCUCAAACCCCGGGUUUGGUGUUGGGUCCACGUCGCCGCUUCGCCCGCGACCGACCCCAAAGACAAUGACGGCGUCCGUGGGACCCUCUUCGCAACGAGCUUCUCGGAGCACGCGUCGAGUGUAAAGGACCUUCCGGGCCGGUCCUCCUCGUUUUCUCAAGGUUGACCUCGGAUCAGGUAGGAAUACCCGCUGAACUUAA